rnacentral:rRNA from 1 species
GGCCUUAUACAUGCAAGUCGAGCGCAUCCUUUGGGAUGAGCGGCGGACGGGUGAGUACAGGAAUGUGCCCUUCUCUACGGAAUAGCCACUGGAAACGGUGAGUAAUACCGUAUACGCCCUCAGGGGGGAAAGAUUUAUCGGAGAAGGAUCAGCCCGCGUUAGAUUAGGUAGUUGGUGGGGUAACGGCCUACCAAGCCUACGAUCUAUAGCUGGUUUUAGAGGAUGAUCAGCCACACUGGGACUGAGACACGGCCCAGACUCCUACGGGAGGCAGCAGUAGGGAAUCUUGGACAAUGGGGGCAACCCUGAUCCAGCCAUGCCGCGUGAGUGAAGAAGGCCCUAGGGUCGUAAAGCUCUUUCGCCUGUGAUGAUAAUGACAGUAGCAGGUAAAGAAACCCCGGCUAAACUCCGUGCCAGCAGCCGCGGUAAUACGGAGGGGGUUAGCGUUCUGUUCGGAAUUACUGGGCGUAAAGCGCGCGUAGGCGGAUUGGAAAGUUGGGGGUGAAAUCCCGAGGCUCAACCUCGGAACUGCCUUCAAAACUCCCAGUUCUAGAGUUCGAGAGAGGUGAGGUGGAAUUCCGAGUGUACAGGUGAAAUUCGUAGAUCUUCGGCAGAACACCAGUUGGCGCAAGGGCGGGCUCACUGGCUCGAUACUGACGCCUUAAGGGUGCCGAAAAGUGUGGGGAGCAAACACGGGAUUUAGAAUACCCUGGUACGUCCAAACCGUAACGAUGAAUGGCAACUACGGACGGGAAUAUAUAACCAUUCCGGUGAACACACCUCUACGGGAUUCCUCGCAUGUGGAGUACG